rnacentral:ncRNA from 1 species
AAGUAAAAGGCAAAACACGCGAAAGCGUGUGACGCAAAGCCAUGAAUCUACGGCCGAUAGGCCAUGAUUGUCAGGUUGC